CUUCGCUUCAUUUCAUAAUGUCUCGAGGGGUGUUGCGUUUCAGAGGGUCUAUGCCACCAUCUACCACUGCCUAAGUUUCCGCUUGAAAGUGUCUUUGACCAUGGAGGGUGACAGUCCCGUAAGGCAGCUUCCCGUGAGGGUGAGGUGUGAUGGUGGCGAAGGGCCUCUCUGUAGAGUCAGGUUGCUUAAUAUUGCAACCUAAAGUAGGUGGUAAACUCCAUCUAAGGCUAAAUAUUCCCACGAGACCGAUAGCGAACAAGUACCGUGAGGGAAAGUUGAAAAGGACUUUGAAGAGAGAGUUCAAUAGUACGUGAAACCGUUAAGAGCCUAAACGGAUGGGACCAAUGCAGAUCGAACUGAGGGGAUUCAGCUCGCCGGCAUCAUCUCAUUAUAAGGUUGAAAGCAGAAUUGUGAAGUGACCUGAGCCAUGGAGUGAGCAGCAGAAGUAAAUUUUGUUCUGUGUUGUAAUAUAUCCUAUCAGGCAUGCCUUAUAAUCGAUCGAUGUUGUUGGUUGGCGUAUUUCGCCUCUAAAGUAGAUCACUGCGACCUGUUGUGGGGAAGUCGAAGGCCCGGGUGGAUUGGUAGCCUUAUGCCAAUUACGGUAUUGUGAUCCUUGGCAACAAUCUGAACAAGUGAGCCUUGGUGAGCAGCUGUAUGUCGGUGUUUUGUGAAACCUCCGGUGACAUAUCCUAACUGCCCCACGAUAGUUGUUAGUGGAGCCUUUCCCACGGGAUUGGCUCUCGCAGUGUGUGCAAAGAGGGCCAGGAACCAACCGACCCGUCUUGAAACACGGACCAAGGAGUCUAACAUGUAUGCGAGUCUAAGGGUAUUACUAAACCCAUGGGCGAAAUGAAGGUGAUUGAGAAUUCACACCUGGUGCAUUGUAAUGAGGUGCCCAACAGGACUGAUCCCGAGGGCUGGUACCUAGUGCUCUACGAUCAGGAAAUUUAGUAAGUAGGUGAGACCCUUUCCCUGCCGAACAUAUUUCCUGGUUGGAUUGACGUGGUUAAGGUCUGAGAGUCUGUUAAAUCAGAGGAGGCGUAAGUCUGGGACAUGACCUAAGCUUAAAUGCAAAAGACUGAUAGUUGUAUAUAGUGGCGUGCAUCAUAUGCUCCCCCGGCAAUAUGCUAUUUCCUUGCGGUUUAUAUAACCAUUUGCCAAAAGCUUGUUGGUUAUGGCUGUAGGGUGGUGUACGUGUACGGGUCUUCAGUUGGGCAAUAUUUGGUGGCCAUGAAAACAGAGAGACGUCUGAGGACAUGUACCUUGAGCAUCCAUGUUAGUACCCGAAAGAUGGUGAACUAUGCCUGGCCAGGAUGAAGCCAGAGGAAACUCUGGUGGAGGUCCGAAGCAAUUCUGACGUGCAAAUCGAUUGUCAGAGCUGGGUAUAGGGGCGAAAGACUAAUCGAACUAUCUAGUAGCUGGUUCCCUCCGAAGUUUCCCUCAGGAUAGCUGGUACUCAUUGAAGAAUUUCAUCUGGUAAAGAGAAUGAUUAGAGGUGAUGGGGACGAAAUGUCCUCAACCUAUUCUCAAACUUUAAAUGGGUGAGAAUGGCCAAGCUUUCUUAAAACAUGAGAGUUGGAUGCAUUCAGGCAUGUUUGCUGAAAACCUUAUGAAAAUGAAGCUUUGGCCUUGGAAUCAGAGUACCAAGUGGCCACUUUU
rnacentral:rRNA from 1 species